UCCGUAGGUGAACCUGCGGAAGGAUCAUUAUCCACACCAAAAAACUAUCCACGUGAAUGUAUUCUUUAUAAGGCUUGUGCUGGGAUGUUCUUCGGGACGACCCGGCUAGCAGAAGGUUUCGUCAAGAAGCCGAUGUACUUUUAAUCCCUUCUUAAAUAACAUACUGAUAAACUUAGCCGUCAGAAAUGAUAGCUUGUAAUAAAAUACAACUUUCAACAGUGGAUGUCUAGGCUCGCACAUCGAUGAAGAACGCUGCGAACUGCGAUACGUAAUGCGAAUUGCAGAAUUCAGUGAGUCAUCGAAAUUUUGAACGCAUAUUGCACUUUCGGGUUAGUCCUGGAAGUAUGUCUGUAUCAGUGUCCGUUAAUACAAAAUUGUUUUGUCUUUGGACGAAGCAGAAUGUGAAGGUCUUGUUUCGACAAGUCCUUUUAAAUGACGGUCCCUGUAUAGCUGUUCAAGUACAUUAUACAAAGGUCUAUAUGAUUCUGAUUUCGAAUGUUUUGUGUUGAAAUUGCACAACUUUUGAAAGAAGGCUAAAUUGCGGUAGUUUUGCUUGUGUUUCGGCACGGGUGAACAACAUAUUGCUUUUUAUGUCGUCUGGAAGAGGUUUGUAAGUUGAAGGCAGAAUGCGGAGUCGGAUAGUAUGGUCUGGUGUGCUUGUGUCUAUAUGGAAGCAAAUUGGGAAACAACAUCCAAUUUGGACCAUGAUAUCAGACAAGACUACCCGCUGAAUUUAAGCAUUUCAAUAAGCGGAGGA
rnacentral:rRNA from 1 species